AUCUAGUCGACGCAGAAGUAAGAGACGACGAGCUUUGUUUGAUUGAUCUUACAAAGUUGGAAAACGACUCUAGCGAGGGGAUGUGGGAAGAUUCUAAAGAGAUCUCUUUUUCACAAUCACAGUUUGAUGUUUCUUUUACGCCUCUGGCACGCUGGUUGGUCUUAACCGAGCGUUCGACGGCAUCACACCUCCCGCCAAAACGUUCCGAAGAAGUCUACAUUGAAGACCAGCUUGCGGAGGAGGAGGAGGA